UACGGAGGGUGCAAGCGUUGUCCGGAAUCACUGGGCGUAAAGGGCGCGUAGGCGGCUCAUGAAGGCUGUGGUGAAAGUCCGGGGCUCAACCUCGGAUCGGCCGUGGCGACUCGUGGGCUAGAGCACUGUAGAGGCGGGUGGAAUUCCGGGUGUAGCGGUGGAAUGCGUAGAGAUCCGGAAGAACACCAGUGGCGAAGGCGGCCCGCUGGGCAGUGGCUGACGCUGAGGCGCGACAGCGUGGGGAGCAAACAGG
rnacentral:rRNA from 1 species